ensembl:lncRNA
GUGGGUGGGUCGGUCCAAUGAAGGGGUACCUCACAUAUGUGGUCCAGAUGAUUCCAGGGCCAAACCAAGCCCAGACGUAUGAGAGACUGCCUUGGAUUCAGAGUUAGAGUAUUGGACACUGAUGGUUCCAGACUCACCACAGCCAAGGAGAGGUUGGUUACAGACUCUGCCACAUAUAACAGAGUCCAAAGCUGGCCCACUGACAUCAGCCAGGAGCUGAACUCUGAAGGAGAGGACCUCUAGCUCAAUGCAUGGAAACAAAUUGGGAACAAUCAUGUGAAGUGAAUCCUCCUGCAACCUUUCCUUUUGGCACCAGAACCAGAUUCAUGGCAUAACGGAUAUUUUGCAAGGGGAAAUGGCGGAAGGCCAGACCUCCUUGUUAAGUCUGGAACACAUCUCCAAUCAACGGUGAGACAGAACAACACAACUUGAAAUUGAACCUUGAGCCUUGUGCCCAACAACAACAGACUUGAAGCACAGAGUGGCUCACUACAGAAGAUGAGACUGUAUUUCUGUCAAAGUUUCUACAGCAUCAAGAUCAAGGCAGAGAGGCCUUUGGGUCGAUAUGGAUGGGCACAACAAUAGGACAAUGUGCCAGGUAACGGGAGAGAACUGGGAAGUAACUUCACACUUAAAUUUAGACUUUGACAUGCAUUGGUAUAGAGGUUGUGUUAUAUUAGAUCAAAAUGGAGCAGGAUGUGAAAACUUCUAACUAAAAUGUAUUAGCUAAAUUAAUAAUAAAAUCUAGAAUUGGGAUGGGAGGUGUAAAGAUACACUGAAUGCCUGAAAGAAAAGUCUACUGGAGGAAAUGGAAGGAUUGUGUUGGGUGACCCCAAACAAAUCCUGCUGACCAGGAAAACAGCGGAAAAGGUAACUGAUCCGGGUUCCUGCAAAGGAAGCAACCACUGACUGAAUACAGGCCGGUGCAGUUGGCCCAACUGGACGACUUGACAGAUCAACAUCUCAAGGAAAAGAUACCUGGAUCCAGGCCAGCCAAAAUAAACCAGAUUUGAACAACAUUUCAGCGCAAAGGACAAGAUUUAGCGACCCCACCAACACAAACAACCAGACAACUCAGAGGGC